rnacentral:rRNA from 1 species
GACGAACGCUGGCGGCGUGCCUAAUACAUGCAAGUCGAGCGCAGGAAAUCGACGGAACCCUUCGGGGGGAAGUCGACGGAAUGAGCGGCGGACGGGUGAGUAACACGUAAAGAACCUGCCCUCAGGUCUGGGAUACCACGAGAAAUCGGGGCUAAUACCGGAUGGGUCAUCGGACCGCAUGGUCCGAGGAUGAAAGGCGCUUCGGCGUCGCCUGGGGAGGGCCUUGCGGUGCAUUAGCUAGUUGGUGGGGUAAUGGCCCACCAAGGCGACGAUGCAUAGCCGACCUGAGAGGGUGAUCGGCCACACUGGGACUGAGACACGGCCCAGACUCCUACGGGAGGCAGCAGUAGGGAAUCUUCCACAAUGGACGAAAGUCUGAUGGAGCAACGCCGCGUGAACGAUGAAGGCCUUCGGGUCGUAAAGUUCUGUUGUAAGGGAAGAACAAGUGCCGCAGGCAAUGGCGGCACCUUGACGGUACCUUGCGAGAAAGCCACGGCUAACUACGUGCCAGCAGCCGCAGUAACAC